rnacentral:rRNA from 1 species
AGCAUAUCAAUAAGCGGAGGAAAAGAAACCAACAGGGAUUGCCUUAGUAACGGCGAGUGAAGCGGCAAAAGCUCAAAUUUGAAAUCUGGCACCUUCGGUGUCCGAGUUGUAAUUUGAAGAAGGUAACUUUGGAGUCAGCUCUUGUCUAUGUUCCUUGGAACAGGACGUCACAGAGGGUGAGAAUCCCGUGCGAUGAGAUGUCUGAUUCUAUGUAAAGUGCUUUCGAAGAGUCGAGUUGUUUGGGAAUGCAGCUCUAAGUGGGUGGUAAAUUCCAUCUAAAGCUAAAUAUUGGCGAGAGACCGAUAGCGAACAAGUACAGUGAUGGAAAGAUGAAAAGAACUUUGAAAAGAGAGUGAAAAAGUACGUGAAAUUGUUGAAAGGGAAGGGUUUGAGAUCAGACUUGGUAUUUUGUAUGUCUUGCUUUCGGGUGGGGCCUCUACAGUUUACUGGGCCAGCAUCGGUUUGGACGGUAGGAUAAUGACAUUGGAAUGUGGCACCACUUCGGUG